UUCCCUGUAGUGCACAAUGAAUAGCACCCUAGACUUCUAAUCUGAAGGUCGUGGAUUCGAAUCCCACCUGGGAUG